GCAUAUCAAUAAGCGGAGGAAAAGAAACCAACAGGGAUUGCCUUAGUAACGGCGAGUGAAGCGGCAAAAGCUCAAAUUUGAAAGCUAGCACCUUCGGUGUUCGCGUUGUAAUUUGAAGAUAGUUUCCUUGAGUAGUCCUUUAUCUAUGUUCCUUGGAACAGGACGUCAUAGAGGGUGAGAACCCCGUAUGAUUUUGGAUACUACUCUUUGUGGGAUUCUAUCGAAGAGUCGAGUUGUUUGGGAAUGCAGCUCUAAGUGGGUGGUAAAUUCCAUCUAAAGCUAAAUAUUGGCGAGAGACCGAUAGCGAACAAGUACAGUGAUGGAAAGAUGAAAAGAACUCUGAAGAGAGAGUGAAAAAGUACGUGAAAUUGCUGAAAGGGAAGGGCUUGAGGUCAGACUUGGUGUUUAAUGAUUAUCAGUUCUUCUUGGACUGUGCACUCGUUUUUCACCGGGCCAAUAUCAGUUUUAGCGGUAGAGUACCCCUUGAAAUGUGGCUUCCUUCGGGGAGUGUUAUAGUCUUGGGGAGAUCUACUUGCUGGGACUGAGGACUGCGCUUCGGCAAGGAUAUUGGCGUAAUGACCUUAAGCCGCCCGUCUUGAAACACGGACC
rnacentral:rRNA from 1 species